GGAUGUGAAGGCGAUCUGGCUGCGACAUCUGUCCUGCUCCAUUGAUCGCCAUAGUUGAUUCCGAUGCUUCUGGCUGGCUUGGUGGGUGCCCCCUUCCUCACCGCUCCAUGUGCAUCUUUCUGAAGCUGUGCUUGGUUGAAGAGGACGACCUUACCCCCAUAGAGGAGGACCAUUCUUCAGUCAAGAGUAUAGGAGCAGCUGCACUCCCCUGCUAGAACUUCCAAACAAGCUCUCUCAAGAGUCACAGUUUAGAUGAGGCGAUAGACAAACUGUAGAAUGCAACAAGAAACCUUUUUAUGAACAAAGAUGGCUUUGU
rnacentral:snRNA from 1 species